GUAGUUACAUGAAAGUUAGUGGGAGGGUCCUAUACUGACAUCAGUUAUGAUGUGGUUAAUAUAGAACUUUUUUUUCAAAGACCUAGGUCAAACAUUCUAAAAAUAAAAGUCUAUAAAGAUAGAUCCUAAAAGGAUGUUUGGUUUUUACAGACAAAUACAUAGAAGAGGUGUUGAAAGGAUUCAGUAUUAAAACCUUCAAGAG
rnacentral:lncRNA from 1 species